rnacentral:rRNA from 1 species
CCAGACUCCUACGGGAGGCAGCAGUGGGGAAUACUGCACAAUGGGGGAAACCCUGAUGCAGCGACGCCGCGUGAGUGAAGAAGCGCCUCGGCGCGUAAAGCUCUGUCAGCAGGAACGAUAAUGACGGUACCUGAAGAAGAAGCCCCGGCUAACUACGUGCCAGCAGCCGCGGUAAUACGUAGGGGGCAAGCGUUAUCCGGAUUUACUGGGUGUAAAGGGAGCGUAGACGGCGGGGCAAGUCUGGAGUGAAAGGCCGGGGCCCAACCCCGGGACUGCUCUUGGAACUGCGUGGCUGGAGUGCAGGAGGGGCAGGCGGAAUUCCUGGUGUAGCGGUGAAAUGCGUAGAUAUCAGGAGGAACACCGGUGGCGAAGGCGGCCUGCUGGACUGCAACUGACGUUGAGGCCCGAAAGCGUGGGGAGCAAACAGGAUUAGAUACCCCAGUA